rnacentral:tRNA from 1 species
GCCUGGGUAGCUCAGCUGGUUAGAGCGCUAGACUCAUACUCUAGAGGUCGCGGGUUCGAAUCCCGUCCCAGGCACCA